rnacentral:rRNA from 1 species
CCAGACUCCUACGGGAGGCAGCAGUGGGGGAUAUUGCACAAUGGGGGGAACCCUGAUGCAGCGACGCCGCGUGGGUGAAGAAGCGCCUCGGCGCGUAAAGCCCUGUCAGCAGGGAAGAAAAUGACGGUACCUGAAGAAGAAGCCCCGGCUAACUACGUGCCAGCAGCCGCGGUAAUACGUAGGGGGCAAGCGUUAUCCGGAUUUACUGGGUGUAAAGGGGGCGCAGACGGCGAUGCAAGCCAGGAGUGAAACCCCGGGGCUCAACCCCGGGCAUGCAUUGGAAACUGGCGGGCUGGAGUGCCGGAGAGGUAAGCGGAAUUCCUAGUGUAGCGGUGAAAUGCGUAGAUAUCAGGAGGAACACCGGUGGCGAAGGCGGCCUGCUGGACUGCGACUGACGUUGAGGCCCGAAAGCGUGGGGAGCAAACAGGAUUAGAUACCCUAGUA